rnacentral:rRNA from 1 species
UUAGUUAGCAAAAGUUUUUGGUUUUAUUAAUUGUUAAAAGAUGAGUUUGCGUAAGAUUAGGUUGUUGGUAAAAGUAAUAGUUUACCAAGCCUUUGAUCUUUAGUUGGUCUUAGAGGACGUACAACCACACUGGAACUGAGAUAAGGUCCAGGCUAUUUUUAGCCAGCAGUGAGGAAUAUUGGACAAUGAACGAAAGUUUGAUCCAGCAAUAUUAUGUGAAUGAUUGACGGCUAAUUUUUGGUUGUAAAGUUUUUUCGUUAAAAAUGAUAAUGACAUUAUUUAAAGAAGUUUUAGUCCCGGCUAAUCUCGUGCCAGCAGCCGCGGUAAUACGGGAGGGGCAAGCGUUAUUCGUAAUUACUGGGCGUACAGCGUCCGUAGAUUGUAAUAUAAGUUCUAUGUUAAAAUUUAAAGUUUAACUUUAAGAAAAGAUAAAAGACUGUUUUACUUGAGUUUAAUACGGAAGAGUAGAAUUUCAUGUUAAGGAGUAAAUUCCAAGAAUACAUGAAGGAACAUCGUUAGCGAAAGCAACUCUUUAGUACAAACUGACAUUGAGGGACGAAAGUGUAAGGAGCAAACAGGAUUAGAUACCCUGGUAGUUUACACUGUAAAUUCUGAGUGCUGUAAUUUAAAAAAAAUUUAGAUUUUUUAAGCUAACGCCAUAAGCAUUCCGCCUGAGGAGUAUGAUCGCAAGAUUGGAACUCAAAGGAAUUGACGGGAGCCUACAACGAGUGGUGGAGCAUGUGGUUUAAUGCGAUAAUCCGCGCAAAACCUUACCAACUCUUGACAUAUUGAAAAAAAAUUUGUGUUAACUCAAAUUUUUUUAUCAUUAAUUAAUAAAUUAAUUAAUUUUCACUACAGGUGUUGCACGACUGUCGUCAGCUCGUGUCGUAAGAUGUUUGGUUCAUUCCUUUUAACGAGCGCAACUCUUAUUUUUAAUAAUUUACU